rnacentral:rRNA from 1 species
CACGUAGGGGGCAAGCGUUGUCCGGAUUUAUUGGGCGUAAAGAGCUCGUAGGCGGUUCGGUAAGUCGGAUGUGAAACCUCCAGGCUCAACCUGGAGACGCCACCCGAUACUGCCGUGACUAGAGUCCAAUAAGGGAGCGUGGAAUUCCUAAUGUAGCGGUGAAAUGCGCAGAUAUCAGGAGGAACACCAGCGGCGAAGGCGGCACUCUGGGCUGGAACUGACGCUGAGGAGCGAAAGCGUGAGGAGCGAACAGG